GAAGGGCUGCAAGGCAGAGCAGAGUUCAGUAGCUGACUGGAGCAUGAGGGGAGAAGCCCAGGUUCCUAGCAGAGGGAAGAAGCCCCAGCACCUGGGACAAUUCAGUGCUGCAAGUGCGGACCAGGGAGUUAGCGAGAGCUCCUGGAUGGCUGCUGGGGUCUGCAGGCUGAGGCCCUGAGAGACACAUCUAUUCUGUGUGAUGGGGUACACCUGCCCCGUACUGGACAGAAAGGGCUUAACCCCAUACGGCCCCCUCGCCCCUGCUGGGCAUGCUCCAACUGGAAUCUCAGUAUAACAGUGAGCAGCCCAGUUCAGUCUGUUCUGACCGCAGAGGAGAGAGGACAUGUAUUGCAGGCUCCUAGCCAGGAGCUGUCAGAGCCCCAGACCACGGAGUCCAGCCACACCAAGACCCAGGCAAAAGAGUCAAAACCCAGGCUAUGGAAGCCUGUGAGGGGAAGGAGUCAUCAGGAGCAUCACCUGCCGACUACCCUGGAGACCCAGAGGACCUGCAGCCUACAGAGCCGGAAGACAGGGUGGGAAGUACCUCAGGGGAACCAAACAUUGAUCUGGUUGUGAAACCGGGAACCGAGUCAGCAUGUUUCAGAUAGAACCCCACUGAAGGAUGGUCUUAUUGACUCUGGCCAUUAGGCCAUAUUGCCCUAAGGCUAAGGGCAAUCCCACUGACUCUGGCCACUGGGUCAUACUGCCCUGCAUCGAAGGGUGUUCCUAUUGACUCUGACCAUUAGGACAUACCGCCCUGAGGAAAAGGACAGUUAUUUGGACUCUGCUGCAGGGCUAUAAUGCUUUCCCCACCCUCAUGGGGUGAAGGUGCUUUUGUAAACAUUUAACAUACAAACUAAGGGAAAAAUCCUAAGCACAUACACAUUUACUUUAUAAAAUCAACCCUCCCCCAAACAAAAAUGUGACUUGUCAGCAAUGUACCCUCCUCUGACUGCCGUAGUCAUCAAGACACAGCUGUUCCUUGUCAACAAUUAACCACAGGCUUCUUAAGGGCCAGAUUACGGACUAGUGGCUUAGCCUGUACAACCUGGGGGUUGGGGGGCCAUAAGGGAUGUUUUAUUCACAACAAGUAAAAUUUUAUUAAACCCAGUGGACUGCUCUGUAUUCAUGGCUAGUUGCUACCAGCACAACUCCCCAUAUUACUUGUUUUCCUGGUGUCCUCUCAAUACCAGUCCCUCCAGGGAACAUGGGUCAUCUGACUCUAGUUCCACUUAUCAUGAUACAGCUUCCCUAUUUUAACAACAUGUUAACAUUUACAUUAUAAUAAAUAAUUGAUGCCCUGUGUCCCUUCAGCCAGAGGUUGCUAGCACAUUGCUGAGGUGGAGUCUCAUCUUUAUUACAGACUCAGCAAGCUACAUAGUCUGCGAGAUAGUUUAGUCUCUUCACAGAUGCCCACCCUGGGAGAGACUUAUCUGUUUCACUGUCACCUAUCUUUAACAAACUUUCUCUUUGUGGAGAAAGAGAUCGUGGAUGAUCUCUGUAUCUCUGUAGGCUUUCUCUAGAGUAGUGUCUGCUGGCUUGUAAGUGUCUUCUCUUCCUUUUGCAUCACCUCAUAUGACUUGGUUACCACUGCAUUCCUCACGAUUCCUUUAGUCCACUCAUAAUGGUGUCUCUCUAAUGGCUGGAUCAUCACAAGAGUGCCCGUAUCCAAGACUGGUAGGUCCUUAGCUGACCAGUUGUUCUCUAGUGCCUGCUUUCUCUGAUUGUUGGUCAUCUUUCAGCGGCAUCUCCAUCCUUUUGGCUGCACAGAUCUAAUCUCAUUGGAGCAGGAUUUUGGACCUUUGUCCCAUCAGUGCCUGAACUGGAGCAUUUUGGUACACCUGUAAUGACACAUUACUGUGUGCCAAAGAUGCUAAAAAGGGGUCUGAAUCAGAAGAAACUUCCUUGUGUAACAGUCACUUAGCUGUUUUCGCAGCUAAUUCUGUUUUACCAUUACUCUGUGGGUAUGCUGGGGAGGAGGUGUGGUGGUCAAACUCCCAUUUGUGUGCAAAUUUCUUUAAUUCUUCUGAGAUAAAUUAGGGUAUGUUGUCAGUGAAUACAGUGAUCGGACUGUCAUAUCUUGCAAAGUGGGCCAUCCGUUUGCCAAUGACUGAAUUUCUUCUUGUAUUAGGCAGGGCAUCGACUUCCCAGAAAUUUGAAUAGUAGUCCACUGUAAUCAAGUACUACUUUUCAUUGGAGGUAAAUAAGUCUGCUGCCACCUUUUCCUAUCAUCGGGUGGGCAGCUUGUAUGAUAAAAGUCUUUCUGAUGACAAUUAUCACAUGACUGGUAGGUGUCACCCUUCUGUCAAGGAGCAGAGUUGUGUAUUCAUUCCCGUCCAGUAAACACACUCUGAAGCCCAUCUAAAACAGCUGUCAAUGACCAGGUGUGAGGCAUGCAUUUUUUUCAUGACAUACAUUGUGUAAUGUGGAAGAGAAAAAAAUUCUCUCGCCUUGAAAUAUGAUUGCACCCUAGAUGCUCAGUUCAUCUUUAAUUUGAUAAUAUGGUUCUGCUCCUACUAGAAUUUUUUUUUGUCUUCUGGCCACUCUGCUAGUAUCUCUCUCUUGACUCCCAUCCUUUUCUGUAGCCUCUUUGAUAUCCUCUAGCUGUGCUGUUGAAAUGGAGAUAGUGCAGUAUGUUAAUGGAUUUGCUGUCCUGAUCCUCUUUCCCCAAACUAGCAGAUUCUGGGUAUAUAUGCCCUGCCCAGGGUGUCAGCAAAUGCCAGUAAUCUUCAUGGACAAAAUCUGAUCUCUCUACCUGGUAGCACUGGAGGUGCAUCAACAUGUGCUACAAUCUCUUUUGUGCACUAAAAAGGGGCUUUGCUAUGAUUAUCUCCAGGGGUAUGUGGUCUGAUUGUACUAUUAUUGGGGGGCAAUAGCUGUACUGAUGGAAUUGCUCCACUCUAAAUACCAGAACCAGAAGUUCUUUUUCUAUUUGGACAUUCCCCUGUUCAGUCUCUGACAUGGUCCUGCAGGCAUAAGUGACCAGCUGCUCCUGCAAAAGAGAUGUAUUAGUGGCUCUCUCGGCUGGUAGUACUUCAGGAUGGGGCAUCUGUUAUCAUUAGUUUCAUUGUGUUAAAUGCUUGCUGUUGAGGACCUGCCCAAUCCCACUCAAUAUCCUGCCUUGUAUGGGUUCUGCUACUGCACCAGGUGUGGACAGAAUUUGGCCAGAAAAUGUAUCAUUCAUAUGAAGCACUGUAACCCUUUCACAUCCACUGGCUCUGAUGUGUCUCUGACUGCCUUGAUCUUGUUGGGAUCUGUUUUUUAAUUCCUCUGCUCUGAGCAGAUGUGCAAUGUAUGUCAGCUCACUCUGUUUAAAUUGCAUUUUUCCUGGGUUGAAUUUCAUGGUCUUGUCCUUGCAUCGCUGUAGGAAAAAAUGUAGUUCUCUGUCAUGGACUUGUCAAGCUUCUGUAUCUUUACUCCCUUUACCUACAAUGAGGAUAUCAUCUUCAAUUAUUUUCACCCCAGGCAGUCCUUCCAGCACUUGGGUGAGUCUUCUCUGGAACACCUCUGGUGCUGGGCUUAUGCCCAUCAGCAUGCACAGCCAUCUGUAGCAACCAAAUGGUGUUGCAACAGUUAUCAGCAUGCUGGACAAUUUAUUUAGGCUUAUGUGUUAAAAGCUAUUCCUCACAUUAUGGACUGUAAAGAUUCUGGCUUUGAAAAGUUGUGGCCAGAUAUCAUCAUCAGUUGUGAGCAGUGGCAUCUUUUCAAUGCUUGGUUCAGUGGCUUUGGGGCUAUGCAGAUGUGCAAUUUGCCUGGUGGCUUCUCUACCACCACCGUGCUGCUUAUCCAGGCUGUACUGGCGUCUACUGGUGCUAUGAUACCCCUGCACUGCAGACUUUUGAGCUCCUUGCAUGCUGGAUUACAUAGUGCUACUGGAAUGUUCCUUCACGGUAAGUGCACAGGUACCACUGUGCAGUCUACUUCAGACACAGCUUUACUUUGAGGCACUCACAGGAGAACAUUUAUUCACCCAAAGAUACAUAAAAAGCAAAGAAAAGGGUUAAAACAACAAAAGGCCUACAUGUCUAGGUCUUACCUAAAUCUUAUCCUUUCCUUGUUAAUUUUUGAUAAGCUCCAGACAGACCUCUAUUUAUGGACUGAGACUAACAGCUGGCCCUGCUUCAGUUUUCCCUCUCUCUUUUGGUGUUGCUCCUGCAAUGUCGCCCCUUGAGCAACUGCUGACUACUCAUGCCUCCCCUCCCCCUCUCAGCAGUGGUUUUGAACAGUUUAGUGUCCUUUGAUCUCGGGCAUCAGACCUGGAACAAAGCCUGUUAACCUGGAUUCAGGUAGGCACUUUCUAAUUAAUAGGCCACCCAUUGUUCUUCUAAGGAACCUUGUUUUCUUCUGAGAUCUUCUCUCUGUCAUUGUUUCAUUUCCUGCUUGUUUCCCAACAGCUCCCAAUGAAAUGGCACCAGUCCAUUUCCACAUUGUAAUAACCCAAUAUGGCAAUGUCUGGAGUAUCUUGAUAGGUCACAUUCAUGAAACUAUUACAAAUUAACCUCGUUGUCUGCACUACCUACUAAACACAGUCAGUGUGCUCAGAAGACAUAGUCCCUGCCCCAAUUAUUUUACUUUCGAAAUUAGGAAGGCAUCAGGUUACCAGAAAAAGCAAUGGCAUGCAUGUGCAGACUCUUAUAAAAUAUAUUAAUACAUCUUUCCUUGGGAAAUUAAUAUUCAUGGUCUCUUCAGAAGCAUUUUCUAAGAUGAUGUAAACUGGCUUUUCAGAUGACAUGUGGAGAACUGGGAAAUAUUCAUUUUUUUAAAUUCAUUCAUUUUUAUUCAUUUUGAUAGUUACCCAUGUGAUAUUUUUUUGCCUGAAUGCAUCAUUAGCUCAAAAGGGGUUGUUAAAGAAACCUGGCAGGAAAGGUAAAACUCUGCUUUAGAGAAAGACCUUCCCCUCAAGCACAAUAGCCAGGAUUAUAGCCAUGAAGGGGGACUCCUCAGCCUCAAUAUUGGUGACAGGCCUGUUUGCCAAAUCCAGGGAUCAAACGACAGUAAUUUUGUAAAGGAUCUGCCCUUUACACAGGGAGGAGGACGUUGUCAGUGGCUACAGACUGAUGCAGGCCGACAGCAAGCAGGCUGUAACUUAGCCCUGGUGCUCCUCGUUCUUCCUGGGGACCAAGUCAGCCCAAACCAGGAGCCAGAGGAGAAUGCCAAGCAUGGGUGAGACAACAUACAUGAGGUCCCUGUUGUUUUAAAUUCACUUCUCUAAGUGCUAUGCAUCUUUUGGGAAAAUAAAGAAGCUGCUUUUGUGUCACUGCAUGCUGUUACUGUCCACAGGCUUCCAAAGAAAAUGUCUGGAAGGUAUCAAGUCUUUUGGGCCUGCUAAAUAAUCUGGUUGACAAUCAGGGGCCUGUAAUCCAAGACACACAUGGAGAGCGACUGGACCACGUUGUCCAACCCAAAAAAGUGGAGACAUGGGGGACUGCAAAACGACUCAGAAAGGGCGGUGUACCCAGGGACUGUGACAACUGAACUCAUUAGAAAAACUCUCCUAUUGUAUAUAAACAAUUACUAUUCAAGUGGGUCUGUCUCAUGUGAUCUUCUGAAACAGUUAUGUAGAAUGGAGAAUAUUUCAAAUUCCUAGGAGUAAUUUGUAUUGAAAUAAACUUGGAAUACUUGCUAA